rnacentral:rRNA from 1 species
AUGAACGCUGGCGGCGUGCCUAAUACAUGCCAGUCGAGCGAACAGAUGAGGAGCUUGCUCCUCUGACGUUAGCGGCGGACGGGUGAGUAACACGUGGAUAACCUACCUAUAAGACUGGGAUAAUUUCGGGAAACCGGAGCUAAUACCGGAUAAUAUAUUGAACCGCAUGGUUCAAUAGUGAAAGACGGUUUUGCUGUCACUUAUAGAUGGAUCCACGCCGCAUUAGCUAGUUGGUAAGGUAACGGCUUACCAAGGCAACGAUGCGUAGCCGACCUGAGAGGGUGAUCGGCCACACUGGAACUGAGACACGGUCCAGACUCCUACGGGAGGCAGCAGUAGGGAAUCUUCCGCAAUGGGCGAAAGCCUGACGGAGCAACGCCGCGUGAGUGAUGAAGGUCUUCGGAUCGUAAAACUCUGUUAUUAGGGAAGAACAAAUGUGUAAGUAACUAUGCACGUCUUGACGGUACCUAAUCAGAAAGCCACGGCUAACUACGUG